rnacentral:rRNA from 1 species
GAGUUUGAUCGUGGCUCAGAACGAACGCUGGCGGCAGGCUUAACACAUGCAAGUCGAGCGCCCCUCACGGGGAGCGGCAGACGGGUGAGUAACGCGUGGGAACGUACCCUUUUCUACGGAAUAACCCAGGGAAACUUGGACUAAUACCGUAUGUGCCCUUCGGGGGAAAGAUUUAUCGGAAAAGGAUCGGCCCGCGUUGGAUUAGCUAGUUGGUGGGGUAAAGGCCUACCAAGGCGACGAUCCGUAGCUGGUCUGAGAGGAUGAUCAGCCACAUUGGGACUGAGACACGGCCCAAACUCCUACGGGAGGCAGCAGUGGGGAAUAUUGGACAAUGGGCGCAAGCCUGAUCCAGCCAUGCCGCGUGAGUGAUGAAGGCCUUAGGGUUGU